rnacentral:misc_RNA from 1 species
GUUGCAACCUCCUGGAUAAGUGUCGCUCCAGCAUUUUCAAUUGUAUCUGGAAGUUCUAUGGCUUGAGCUAUGGUAACACCAUCAUUAAUUAUUUUCAGCCCCCCAGCUUCAGAGAGAACUACGUUCCGGCCUCUAGGUCCUAAAGUGACAGAAACAGCAUCAGCAAGCUUAUUGAUACCAGAAAGUAAAGCUCUUCUGCAUUCUUUAUCAAAAGCUAUUCUCU